rnacentral:tRNA from 1 species
GGGUGGGGGCAUAGAGGAUUAGAGUACGUGGCUAUGAAUCACAGUGUUAGGGGUUCGAAUCCCUUCUCGCCCA